AAUAUUAUUUUGGCAGAAAAGUGUAAUGAAUUUAGAAUUCAUAACUGUAAUUUAUUUACAAGUAAUA
rnacentral:tRNA from 1 species